UCCUACGGGGGGCAGCAGUGGGGAAUCUUGCGCAAUGGUCUAACGACUGACGCAGCGACGCCGCGUGUGGGAGGACGCCCUUCGGGGUGUAAACCACUGUUGCCCGGGACGAAUAAGCUGUUUCGACAGCUCUGACGGUACCGGGUGAGGAAGCACCGGCUAACUCCGUGCCAGCAGCCGCGGUAAUACGGAGGGUGCGAGCGUUGUCCGGAAUCACUGGGCGUAAAGGGCGCGUAGGCGGCGCGGUAAGCGUGCGGUGAAAGCCCGGGGCUCAACCCCGGGUCGGCCGUGCGGACUGCCGGGCUCGAGCACUGUAGAGGCAGGUGGAAUUCCGGGUGUAGCGGUGGAAUGCGUAGAGAUCCGGAAGAACACCGGUGGCGAAGGCGGCCUGCUGGGCAGUGGCUGACGCUGAGGCGCGACAGCGUGGGGAGCAAACAGGAUUAGAUACCCCGGUAGC
rnacentral:rRNA from 1 species